AUAAAGUUGUUACAACUUUUCUUUGCAUCUGUGAAGUUCUUGUGUAGAAAAUAAUAACCUCUUUACAAAACACUAUGAAUUGGUCGAUAAAUAGAGUAAGUGCUAUCGUUUAAACACAGUUUUGUAAUUCUCGUAUAAUAAAAUAACUUUGAAUAGCAAUUAUGAACCUAUUAUUCGGUAGUCUAUGAACCCGAUAAGAAGCCAAUUUUUAUGUAAACGCAUUUUUAACAUUAACUAAUAAGGGGCGACAGUAUAAAGAAGUGACGGAG